rnacentral:other from 2 species
UAAUUCCUGCUGUGUGCGUGUUGCCGCUUUCGGCUUCAUGGCUCAUUAAACCCACAUCUCUUAUAAGGGAUGCCGACUUGAAUCUGCGGAUUGCAGGCCUCCCGGCCCACAAGGCCGGACGUUGGAAGCAGCGAAACAGAACUUAGGCGACCCACCUGCUCUUUUGUGCAGGUUAUAAUUGGGCCAGCACGGCAUUUGCGGGGUACGC